rnacentral:rRNA from 1 species
UACGGGGGGGGCAAGCGUUGUUCGGAAUUACUGGGCGUAAAGGGCUCGUAGGCGGCCAACUAAGUCAUACGUGAAAUCCCUCAGCUUAACUGGGGAACUGCGUGUGAUACUGGAUGGCUUGGAUUUGGGAGAGGGAUGCGGAAUUCCAGGUGUAGCGGUGAAAUGCGUAGAUAUCGGGAGGAACACCAGUGGCGAAGGCGACUACCUGGCCCGAUACUGACGCUGAGGCACGAAAGCGUGGGAGCAAACAGGG